CCAAUAGCGUAUAUUAAAGUUGUUGUGGUUAAAAAGCUCGUAGUUGAACCUUGGGCCUGGCUGGCCGGUCCGCCUCACCGCGUGUACUGGUCCGGCCGGGCCUUUCCCUCUGUGGAACCUCAUGCCCUUCACUGGGUGUGACGGGGAAGCAGGACUUUUACUGUGAAAAAAUUAGAGUGCUCCAAGCAGGCCUAUGCUCGAAUACAUUAGCAUGGAAUAAUGAAAUAGGAAGUGCGGGUCUAUUUUGUUGGUUUCUAGGACCGCCGUAAUGAUUAAUAGGGACAGUCGGGGGCAUCAGUAUUCAAUUGUCAGAGGUGAAAUUCUUGGAUUUAUUGAAGACUAACUACUGCGAAAGCAUUUGCCAAGGAUGUUUUCAUUAAUCAAGAACGAAAGUUAGGGGAUCGAAGACGAUCAGAUACCGUCGUAGUCUUAACCAUAAACUAUGCCGACUAGGGAUCGGAUGAUGUUAAUUUUUUAAUGACUCAUUCGGCGCCUUACG
rnacentral:misc_RNA from 1 species